CAGGUUUUGACAGUGUACAGUAGAGCAGGGUUACAGAGCUGUGUGUCUUUCCCUUCCUCUUGGCUGCUCAGUACUACAGAAGUGAGAGCUGAGGAGCAAUUUCACUGCAAGACCAAGACAGCUUUUAUGAAGGAGACUGAGGUUCGUGGGUCCAGCAUAAUGAUGUAUUGCAAGGUGUUCCACAAGCAGAGCUUUUCUGAUUAAUAUAUUGUGUGCAACAGUACACAGCAAAUUGGGUAAGAAACUUCAACAGCCAGUUGCUCCAAGGGGUCUUCAAAAUAAGAGCAUCCUCAGAAAUUACCCUGCAUACAUGUGCUCUGUUCUCUGAUGACAGACCAGCUCCAAAAAAGGCCUUGGUUCAAGCUGUCAAUCCAAUACUGCCAAAUCUUUGUUAAUUUUAAGUAGCUUGCAGUGGAAAUCUGACAUUCAGCUGGAAUAAUCUGGAUUUCCCCCCUUCUCAGUAGUGUGAACUACAUUGUUACAUGAGACCUGAAUGAACUUUAUUAAGAAAAGUGUUUUUGUUUUUUUGUUUUUUUUUCCUUCCCAUGGGGAAUCCCAUAAUUUCAAUUUAUUUUUUCCACAUUCAACAAAGAAAUGGGAAAGAAAAAUAGAAAUUGCCCUGCAGAGCAAGAUUAGGAAAUAUAUUUUGUUGAGGUUGAUCUACAUGUAAUAAAAAUAACACAUUAGAAUGCUAAAAAAUAUUUAAGAUGAAAGCAUUUUCUCUCCUGACCUCUUCUUGCGAGAUCAAUAGGGCAUGCUUUGAACAAAUAGUGAUAGUGUUAGGAAAGGAACCUGCUUAGUUUUUACUCCAAAUUUGAAAAUUAUUAUAAUAACCUCUACUUUAGUUUCAGAGGUUUUCAAUGAGCAAGGAAACCAACUCAUACGAACACCACUCAUCAUCUCUAAUCAUGACCUUGUUACCACUUUUAGGCUGUUUGAUUUUCUGGAGUUGCAAGCCAGAGACUUCCAGACAAUCCAGAUUCUGGAUGUGUAUAAGAUAUAUCAAUUCAGCAGAAAUUAGGGUUUUUGAUAAAGUAAGAACUAAUAUAUAUAUAUAUCAUUAUGAAAGAUGCUUUUAAUAAAAUACAGAAGGACUUUCUUUUACCCUCUUUGUGAGAUUUCAGAAUAGUCACAGCAUGAUCUAUGUUAUUCUUUAGUCUUUAGAUAACAGGAAGGACCACAUGACAAGAGCAGCUUCCUGGACUGAACCGAAAGUCUGUGGUUUUUUUUUGGUUGUUGUUGGUGGUGUGUUUUGUUUGUUUGUUUGUUUUUGUUUUCCUUCCACAGAGUUGUAUAGUAGCCACUUCCACAAAGUAGCUACUUCCUAGUAGUAGAUGGAGAAAAGCAAUCCAUGUAUGAAGCCAGGACUCCCUGUACACCUCACCUCACUCCUAACAAUCUGUAGCUGAAAGGCUUCCUGCACUGGGGGCUUUUCUUGGACCCUUCCUUUGCACCAAGAUUCAGCAGUUCAGUGAAAGCCCUGAUGAACGACAAGGUUUUCUGAGCCCCGGCUCUAGAUUAUCUAUAAGAUAAUGAGAAAUAGAUUCUGAAACAGUCUCCUAUGAGAUUUGUUUGAUUUAGAUUCCAGAAAGGUGUCUCAGACUGCUCUUACUGCCACCCUCAUGGUGUACUUCUUCAGUGCAAGGCCACAUUCUGAAGCUGUAACACACCUAAACCGCAAACCAAUCUCUUUGGCUGAAAAACAAUUCUUAGACAUCUAACCUGUAACUUCUCUCAGAGAAUUUUAGAAAGGUUUUCAAUUAAUCAAUUAAAUAAAUCAAUUCAUUUCAAAAAUUUGUGACAAGGUUUAAUUCUGCACUAACCUCAGAUUUUCUCCCGUAGACUGGUUUAGUCUCAGAGCCAUUCAUAAUGGAUCAGAUCUCUCUAGGUCUCUCUUCCUUCCAUAAAAUUUAAAAAGGGAACAUGCCAUUGCAUUUGAAGCAGUCAUACAGAUACAGUUAUGAAGCUUACUCAGUAAUCAUGAGGUCAGGGCUACAGUGAAGAGCAUAAAAGAGGUGUAAAAUAACAAAAUAACUCAAAUUAGCCUGUUAGAACUGCUUAUCUUCAGGGGGAAAAAAAAACGCGUGAAAGAGAGAGAGUUGCUAACUAUUCUUUCUGCAAUAUAACCAAAAAGACUUAGAAAUGCACAGUCCUAAAGUUUUUCAAGCCCAUCUCUUUUUAUUUUCUCAGGAACUAACAGCUAAUAAGCCAGCAAGAACUUCACCAGCUAAUGAGCGUUAGUGACAACAAAGGACCCUCAAGCAAUCAUUUCCUAGGUCUGUUUCUUACCUUUCUGAUGCAACUUCCCAGCCACAACCUCCCUUCUUGCACAGAACUGAUGCUUGUCCUCUACUCAUUAUCAUUGUCACGUAACUAAAUUUUACUCUCAGUUCUCGAGCUGUUCAAAAAUAACAGGUAAAAGACCAAAUUUGCCUUGCAAUGAGACACACCUGCUUUCUUGUGCAUUUGUAUACACCUUGUACAUCUAAAUCUUGUCACAAUCAUACUAAUUCUGAGAAAUAAUUUAUAUCUGCCUAGUCAGAAGGAACUUGGACUUUAAGAGGUGACAUAAGAUCUAUUAUAUAAGUAAUAUAGGGAAAUAGCAGAGAUAUAGUUUGUGCCAGACUGUGAAACAACAGUAAUAACUAUGGCGAUUUUCUUUUACAUGUAGGUUCUGAUUUUAGCUUUUGUCUAACCAAGCACUUAACAAACAAAAAUGAAGUAAGGAAGGUAAACAACUGAAAACUGACAUGACACUAAAGAAUACUCCAGAAGAGUACCUCAGAUAGCAGUCUGGCUUUUAUGGCCAACUUCAGCUGAAAAGCAUAAACUCUGCAUUGCCAGAAGAGAGGCAGCAUUAUGGGUUAGUCCGACAGGUGGGACUGUGGAGAGAAUCAGAAAGGUGAAAGUGCUAGAACUCAUGGGUUGAGAUAAAGAGAGUUCACUGUGGAAAGCAAAAGCCAUGCACAAAAGCAAAGCAAAACAA